rnacentral:rRNA from 1 species
GACGAACGCUGGCGGCGUGCCUAAUACAUGCAAGUCGAGCGAGCGGAACUAACAGAUUUACUUCGGUAAUGACGUUAGGAAAGCGAGCGGCGGAUGGGUGAGUAACACGUGGGGAACCUGCCCCAUAGUCUGGGAUACCACUUGGAAACAGGUGCUAAUACCGGAUAAGAAAGCAGAUCGCAUGAUCAACUUUUAAAAGGCGGCGUAAGCUGUCGCUAUGGGAUGGCCCCGCGGUGCAUUAGCUAGUUGGUAAGGUAAAGGCUUACCAAGGCGAUGAUGCAUAGCCGAGUUGAGAGACUGAUCGGCCACAUUGGGACUGAGACACGGCCCAAACUCCUACGGGAGGCAGCAGUAGGGAAUCUUCCACAAUGGACGCAAGUCUGAUGGAGCAACGCCGCGUGAGUGAAGAAGGUUUUCGGAUCGUAAAGCUCUGUUGUUGGUGAAGAAGGAUAGAGGUAGUAACUGGCCUUUAUUUGACGGUAAUC